rnacentral:rRNA from 1 species
UACGAAGGGGGCUAGCGUUGUUCGGAAUUACUGGGCGUAAGGAGUGUGUAGGCGGUGCUCUAAGUUCGGUGUGAAAUCUCCCGGCUCAACUGGGAGGGUGCGCCGAAAACUGGGGUGCUGGAGCGCGGGGAGAGGAAAGCGGAAUUCCUGGUGUAGCGGUGGAAAUGCGCAGAUAUCAGGAGGAACACCGAUGGCGAAGGCAGAUCUCUGGGCCGUAACUGACGCUGAGGAGCGAAAGCGUGGGGGAGCGAACAGG